CUACGGGGUGCAGCAGUGGGGAAUAUUGCACAAUGGGCGCAAGCCUGAUGCAGCCAUGCCGCGUGUAUGAAGAAGGCCUUCGGGUUGUAAAGUACUUUCAGCGGGGAGGAAGGGAGUAAAGUUAAUACCUUUGCUCAUUGACGUUACCCGCAGAAGAAGCACCGGCUAACUCCGUGCCAGCAGCCGCGGUAAUACGGAGGGUGCAGGCGGUAAUCGGAAUUACUGGGCGUAAAGCGCACGCAGGCGGUUUGUUAAGUCAGGUGUGAAAUCCCCGGGCUCAACCUGGGAACUGCAUCUGAUACUGGCAAGCUUGAGUCUCGGAGAGGGGGGUAGAAUUCCAGGUGGAGCGGUGAAAUGCGUAGAGAUCUGGAGGAAUACCGGUGGCGAAGGCGGCCCCCUGGACGAAGACUGACGCUCAGGUGCGAAAGCGUGGGGAGCAAACAGGAUUAGAUACCCCUGUAGUC
rnacentral:rRNA from 1 species